rnacentral:tRNA from 1 species
GCGGGGGUCGCCGAGCCAGGUCAAAGGCGCAGGGCUUAGGACCCUGUCCCGUAGGGGUUCGUGGGUUCGAAUCCCACUCCCCGCACCA